rnacentral:rRNA from 1 species
CCUACGGGAGGCAGCAGUGGGGAAUAUUGGGCAAUGGGCGCAACCCUGACCCAGCAACGCCGCGUGAAGGAAGAAGGCUUUCGGGUUGUAAACUUCUUUUCUCAGGGACGAAGCAAGUGACGGUACCUGAGGAAUAAGCCACGGCUAACUACGUGCCAGCAGCCGCGGUAAUACGUAGGUGGCAAUCGUUAUCCGGAUUUACUGGGUGUAAAGGGCGUGUAGGCGGGACUGCAAGUCAGUUGUGAAAACCACGGGCUCAACCUGUAGCCUGCAGUUGAAACUGUAGUUCUUGAGUACUGGAGAGGCAGACGGAAUUCCUGGUGUAGCGGUGAAAUGCGUAGAUAUUAGGAGGAACACCAGUUGCGAAGGCGGUCUGCUGGACAGUAACUGACGCUGAUGCGCGAAAGCGUGGGGAGCAAACAGGAUUAGAUACCCUUGUAGUC